UACGUAGGUGGCAAGCGUUGUCCGGAUUUACUGGGCGUAAAGGGCGUGCAGGCGGUUUGUUAAGUGCAGAGUGAAAGCUCCCGGCUCAACUGGGAGAGGUCUUUGCAUACUGGCAAACUCGAGGGAGGCAGAGGAAAGUGGUAUUCCCGGUGUAGUGGUGAUAUGCGUAGAUAUCGGGAGGAACACCUGUGGCGAAGGCGGCUUUCUGGGCCUUACCUGACGCUGAGACGCGAAAGCGUGGGGAGCGAACCGG
rnacentral:rRNA from 1 species